rnacentral:rRNA from 1 species
UACAGAGGUCUCAAGCGUUGCUCGGAAUCACUGGGCGUAAAGCGCACGUAGGCGGAUUGUUAAGUCAGGGGUGAAAUCCUGGAGCUCAACUCCAGAACUGCCUUUGAUACUGGCGAUCUCGAGUCCGGGAGAGGUGAGUGGAACUGCGAGUGUAGAGGUGAAAUUCGUAGAUAUUCGCAAGAACACCAGUGGCGAAGGCGGCUCACUGGCCCGGUACUGACGCUGAGGUGCGAAAGCGAUGGGGAG